GCUGGACAGACUGCUGCCACACUGGCUGGCUAGGUCGCUCUGUGUAGCACAUGCAUUUCUGGUGCCCUCAGAGGUCUUUGUGCUAUAGGAUGGAAAGUGGUCCUUCUCUUCAAGGGUUAAAUUAAAUACAGAGACAAAACAAACAGAUAAACUACGAAAAACCAGGAGUAACAAUGAAGACUAGUAUGAUGACAUAGAAAUUACAGAUAUGGGCCAGCAUAGCAUGCUCAUGGUUGUGCUGGCCAGGACAGCAGAUGGACACCGCGAAUGCAGUGCCCCCUCCUCCUCUCCAGGCAAGCUUUUCUAAAGGUGACGUCAUUGUGAGCGCCACAUAUGAGAACCACCUUGGAUACUGUGACCAGAACUAAGCAUAGCACUCCUGUGGAACUCAAUGGAUAUAUCCAAGGAAAACAAGAGCCAUGAACUUUCCAGUCCUCAAAACUAAACAAAAUUGCAGGAGAGCACCAAGAGGAAUAAGAAGGUUCACUUCAAAGAUGGCUCUGGUCACUACUGGCCAGUUUCACAUUAUCACCCAAGCAUUAACUGUGUCUUUUGAUUCCUGUCCUUGGAUAAAGUCAAGAUGUGACAAAC
rnacentral:lncRNA from 1 species